AAAAUAGCAAAGGCGCAAAUUGGAGCUUUUCCGUCUCUCUUUGCCAAUUUCCAUUCUCCAGCGGAAGCGGGGGCAUUUUCUGAAAAGCUUUCUGAGUCCUCAUUGGAAGUGGAGCAGAUGUCCAGUGCCAUGAUUCCUGUUCAGCCUGUGGAACUAACUUUCUUCAGUUUGUCUCUCCAGGAAGGAUGAGCACCUCCACACUCAAGGUUUGACUAUGUUGAAGCUACAUCAUUGAUCAUCAAAUCAGAAGAAACAAGGAGUUGUUUUAGUCUUCACUGGAAGCACACCUAUGUGACCUUGAGCAAGUGUAUUCAGCCAUUCUUGGUCUCCCUUUCCCCAUCUGUAAAAUGUGUGGUUUGUUGAUGACUGGUCUGUGGAUCUGUUGCAUCAGAAUCACCUGGAAAGCUGUUGAAAAUGCUAAUUUUCAGGUCCUAGCCCACUCACGAAUAUCUUUGCAGUUGGGCCAGGGUAUCUGUAGUUUCAUACACACACAGACACACAAGUGUGUGCGUGCACGCACAUACAUACAGAGUCACUCCCAAGUGACUUGGAUCCACAGCAGGGUUUGGGACACACUGGAUUAAACAAUCUUCCUGCUUGCCUGAAUUCAGAGGCAAAAAAAUAGCCCUGGGAAGUAUCCUUUAAUAGAAGGCCAGGAAAAAGGAUCAGCCUCUUUGCAGAAGCAGGUUUGGUGCUUCAGGGAGCUACCAAGACUAUCUUCUUAAGAAACAAUCCCCACUUCCCAGGCUUCUCUUUCAUUCUACCUGGGCAUUCAGUGUAUAAUGCAUAUGUAGCCUACAAAGUCAAAGAACUGGCUUUCUGUGCAUUUUAUUUAAAUUGGUUUUAAGGAAAGUGGUUAAAGAGGAGAACUGAGGUAAAUGAAAGUUAAUCCACUUAUUUUACUUGCACUCUGCCUUUUAAGAAACCCUCUUAACUAUAUUCUGAGUGCCAAUAAAUAACAAGGAAAUAUUAGCAAGUUGAUUUUGUCUGUGAUUUCUGCAACUUUCUGUUUUAAUUGACAGAACCUCAAGAGCUGAAAAAAGGAAUCAUAUAAUCAAGACAGAUUAUAGAUCAAAUAAUUUUAUUAAAUGAGAAAACUGAAGAAAAUCAAAAUGCAAACAGGCAAUACCAUUACAUAAAAAUUUGACUCAAUUAAUAAUUAGUCACUCCACAUCACAAUUGUUUGAGGCACCAGUUUUCCUGCAUUUACAGAUAAAGAAACUGAGGUCAAAUGCACAAGAUUUCAUAGAGUAGGUGACAUAGAAAUUCAGUCCAGGUCCAAGGUCUCUAAUGCCACGUUCCAGAGAUGUUUUUAGCAGGCUUAUUUAUGAACCAGAAAUAGUAUAUAAAUGUUUAGGGAAUAUACUACACAUCUACUUGAUGUAUGCAGUCAUUAAAAUGGGUAAGCACCCUUACAUCCUGCAGAUGAGAGAAUAAAUUGGUACCAUUGAGCCAGGUGCAGUGGCUCUUGCCCAUAGUCUGAACUACUCGGGAGGCUGAAGUGGGAGGAUUGCUUGAGCCCAGGAGUAUGAGGCUGCAGUGAGCUGUGAUUGCACUACUGCAUUCCAGCCUGGGCAACAAAGCGAGACCCACCUCUUAAAAAAACAAAAAUAAAAAUAAAAAAUAACUGAUGCAAUCAUUCCAGAAAGCAAUUUAGCAAUCUCCAUAAAGUGUCUUUUCAAAGUUCAUACUCUUUGCCCCAGUAAUUCACUCUCUGGGAACUUAUCCUAAGGUAAUAAUCAGAAAUUUGGCAAGAGGCUUAUUUGCAAAACUGUGCAUUAAAACAGUACUUUAAAAAAUGAAAAACCUAGAAGGAAACUAAAGGUUCCAAAUUAAUGAGUUAGAUAAGUGAUAGCUCUUUGUAUGUUAUAAUAUCACAUAAAUACAAAAAUAAUGGUGUUCUAAUGGUGUAGGAAACUGUUUAUAAUAUUUUAAGGAAAAGGGCAUGAUCAAAAUAUUGUAUGUAUACUAUGAUCCCAAUUUUGUUGAAAGAAAAAUGUGUGCAUGUGUAAAGAAAACAGGACUGAAAAGAAAUACAUUAGCAUAUUUAAAGUGUCUUAAAAUGUAAAAGAGUGUUAAGGUGGUUCUCUCCCUAUGGUGAAAUUAGAGUUCAUUCUUUAGUCUCUUCUUUGAGCCUUUCAGAAUUUUGAAUUCUUGUUAGUAAGAAACAAACCACUUUUAUGAUCAGAAGGAACACAAUGUUAUUUUUGAGAGAAAUGAAAACUGCAGAUUAUAAAAAAGUAAUAACAGAAAAAUCCUAUGAUGUGUUUAGUAAAAAAAUAAAAAUUGCAUACACAGUAGAGUUUAUGAAGAUAUGCACAUAAAUAAUUAUAACUCUGCAGAGGAAGGAUUAGAUGAAAGCACAACAAAAUAUUAAAGAUGUUUGGGUUUAAAUGGCAAAAAUAAAGUGAAUCUCUUCUAUAGCUUUUUAUUUUCAAAAAUUGUAUUAAAGCCAGGCGCAAUGGCUCACCCCUGUAAUCCCAGCACUUUGUGAGGCCAAGGCGGGCAGACCACCUGAGGUCAGGAGUUCAAGAUCAGCCUGGCCAACAUGGUGAAACCCCGUCUCUACUAAAAACAUAAAAAUUAGCCAGGUGUGGUGGCGCAUGCAUGUAGUCUCAGCUACUCAGGAGACUGAGACAGGAGAAUCGCUUGAACCCAGGAGGCAGAGGUUGCAGUGAGCCGAGGUUGCAGUGAGCCGAGAUUGCAUCACUCUACUCCAGCCUGGGUGACAGAGAGAGACUCCGUCUCAAACAAAAAUUUGUAUUAACGUGAUUUUUAAAUAAUGUUUACAUGUUCCUUCAUCUUCCCUGCCACCUCCAUCCCCAAUUCUCACAACCUAGGGUGCUGUGCAGCUAAGAGCACACAAGCUGUAGAAUCAGUCACAAGUGAGCUCCCACCUUGGCUCUGAAAUUCACUUGCUGUGUGUCCUUUGGCAAUUAUUUUCUUUGAGAAACUCAUAUGAAAAAUAGCAUAGCACCUGGCUCCCCAGAUUACCAGGAUCAUGAAAGGAGAUGAUGGAUGCUAAUUGCUUAGCAUAUUUCUGCUAGAAUCACUAGAGCUUUGUGGCCAUUAGAGUUGGGGUGCUUGAUGAGUCUGGGGUUUUCACUAGCGUGUCUUCGGCUUCACUCUUGAUCUUACUUUGCCAGGCCCCAGAAAAGUAGGGGUGAAGUUGGCAGGUCUUCUGAACCCUGCUUGUAGCAUGAGAAAACUAGUCAAUAGUCUAGAGAGGAGAACUUGGAUGAAAACAUGUUCUUCCUAGUCCCACAAUGGAUGUCUCUGUCUUGGGUAACCCACUUGGAAUUCAAAGUGAAUUCCAACUUUGGUCAGUGUGCUCAACCUUGGGUUAUUGAACUUCAACUCAAAGAUGUGUUUUUAAUCAAUGCCUUUCUUUCUUCUAAAUACACAUGCUUUUAAGGAAUAAUGGCGGGUGCUCAGAUAGGGCAUGGAGAGGCAUACAUAUAGACACACACAAGGAUGCCCGCCAAUAUCUUUCUGCAGGACGUCCAUUCUGUCUCGUGGUCCAUCAUUCAAUUCAAGCCUUUGGGUCAACUCCCUAACUCUCCUAAAAUGAAAUAUUAAUGUGUAUUCAAUCACAUGUCAGUGUCAUGCAUUUGUUAGGGACUUCCUCUAAUCAGAUAGCUGGGAAUGAGGUCUGAGGGAACAUGGGUUUUGAAGACAAAGUAAUUUCAAAAUUCGGGACACUAGCUGAGUCUAGUCUAAGUGUAGAGUCAAAGGCAAGGAGGUGAGGAACUCAUGGAGACUGCCCAGCUCUGUGCUGGUGAAAAGCAGCUACCUUCAGUUCUUCAUUGCCCUCAGCUCUAAAAUGGCCCAGUGGUUCAGGCUUUCUCUGCCUCUUGAAAUCAUCCUUAUUUUUUAGUAUUAACAGAUACUAGUGGUUCAGGGCAUGAGGUCUAAGUCAGUCACACAUGGACUCCAAGUCAGAAUUCCCAUCUUAGCUGUGGAACCUCAAAGAAUGUUUUGAAAUGAUGGCACCUUCUACCAAGAAGUGCUGGAAUGAUCAAGUGAGAUGUUACAACUAGGCAACAGCACGGAUUGUGGCACUAAAAAAGCCUUCAAUAAAUAGGAACAAGUAUUAUUCUACUCCUUGAGCUUACUUGUAUUCUUAAUGACUUCUGCAGUUCCAAAAUUCCUUGCUCUCAUGGAAAACAAACAUGCAACCUUCUC